rnacentral:rRNA from 1 species
AGCAGCCGCGGUAAUUCCAGCUCCAAUAGCGUAUAUUAAAGUUGUUGCAGUUAAAAAGCUCGUAGUUGAAUUUCGGGGUUAGUAGGUUGGUCAUGCCUCUGGUAUGUACUGGUCUAACUGAUUCCUCCUUCCUGAUGAACCUUAAUGCCAUUAAUUUGGUGUUUUGGGGAAUUUGGACUGUUACUUUGAAAAAAUUAGAGUGUUUAAAGCAAGCUAACGCUUGAAUACAUUAGCAUGGAAUAAUGAAAUAGGACGUUCGAUCCUAUUUUGUUGGUUUCUAGGAUUGACGUAAUGAUUAAUAGGGAUAGUUGGGGGCAUUAGUAUUCAAUUGUCAGAGGUGAAAUUCUUGGAUUUAUUGAAGACUAACUACUGCGAAAGCAUUUGCCAAGGAUGUU